GAUGAACGCUGGCGGCGUGCCUAAUACAUGCAAGUCGAGCGAACAGACGAGGAGCUUGCUCCUCUGACGUUAGCGGCGGACGGGUGAGUAACACGUGGAUAACCUACCUAUAAGACUGGGAUAACUUCGGGAACCGGAGCUAAUACCGGAUAAUAUAUUGAACCGCAUGGUUCAAUAGUGAAAGACGGUUUUGCUGUCACUUAUAGAUGGAUCCGCGCCGCAUUAGCUAGUUGGUAAGGUAACGGCUUACCAAGGCAACGAUGCGUAGCCGACCUGAGAGGGUGAUCGGCCACACUGGAACUGAGACACGGUCCAGACUCCUACGGGAGGCAGCAGUAGGGAAUCUUCCGCAAUGGGCGAAAGCCUGACGGAGCAACGCCGCGUGAGUGAUGAAGGUCUUCGGAUCGUAAAACUCUGUUAUUAGGGAAGAACAAAUGUGUAAGUAACUAUGCACGUCUUGACGGUACCUAAUCAGAAAGCCACGGCUAACUACGU
rnacentral:rRNA from 1 species